rnacentral:lncRNA from 1 species
GAGGAGAUGAGCAGAGAAGAACUUACAGGUGUAAACGAAAAAGGUAAAAGGGAUAGUUAGAAACCUAAGUCCAACGCCUACAGGACACCUGACACUUCGAAUACGAAAAAGGCAAAAGGGAUAGAUGGGGAAUCAAUGGCCAGUGGGAAGGGUGAAUUUUAGGGAUUUCAAACUAGGGAAGAAGGGGUUAUUUUCGGAUGUCAAAUUAGGGAAAAACAGGUGAUAAUUCUUUAGGGAUUUGCACUAAGGAAAAGAGGGGAAAUGAACUGGGG